rnacentral:rRNA from 1 species
AUUGAACGCUGGCGGCAGGCCUAACACAUGCAAGUCGGACGGUAGCACAGAGGAGCUUGCUCCUCGGGUGACGAGUGGCGGACGGGUGAGUAAUGUCUGGGGAUCUGCCCGAUAGAGGGGGAUAACCACUGGAAACGGUGGCUAAUACCGCAUAACGUCGCAAGACCAAAGAGGGGGACCUUCGGGCCUCUCACUAUCGGAUGAACCCAGAUGGGAUUAGCUAGUAGGCGGGGUAACGGCCCACCUAGGCGACGAUCCCUAGCUGGUCUGAGGGGAGAACCAGCCAAACUGGAACUGCGACACGGUCCAGACUCCUACGGGAGGAAGCAGUGGGGAAUAUUGCACAAUGGGCGCAAGCCUGAUGCAGCCAUGCCGCGUGUAUGAAGAAGGCCUUCGGGUUGUAAAGUACUUUCAGCGGGGAGGAAGGCGAUGUGGUUAAUAACCGCAUUGAUUGACGUUACCCGCAGAAGAAGCACCGGCUAACUCCGUGCCAGCCGCCGCCGUAA